UUGUAAGACCCCUUGAAGACGACGAGGUAGAUAGGGCAGAGGUGGAAGCAUGGCAACAUGUGGAGCUGACUGUUACUAAUCGGUCGAGGGCAUAACCAAG
rnacentral:rRNA from 1 species